UACGAGGGGGGCAAGCGUUGUUCGGAAUUAUUGGGCGUAAAGGGCGCGUAGGCGGUUUGACAAGUCUGUUGUGAAAUCCCCGGGCUCAACCUGGGAAUGGCAAUGGAUACUGGCGAGCUAGAGUGUGAUAGAGGAUGGUGGAAUUCCCGGUGUAGCGGUGAAAUGCGUAGAGAUCGGGAGGAACAUCAGUGGCGAAGGCGGCCAUCUGGAUCAACACUGACGCUGAAGCACGAAAGCGUGGGGAGCAAACAGG
rnacentral:rRNA from 1 species